AUUGAACGCUGGCGGCAGGCUUAACACAUGCAAGUCGAGCGGGGGAAGGUAGCUUGCUACCGGACCUAGCGGCGGACGGGUGAGUAAUGCUUAGGAAUCUGCCUAUUAGUGGGGGACAACAUCUCGAAAGGGAUGCUAAUACCGCAUACGUCCUACGGGAGAAAGCAGGGGAUCUUCGGACCUUGCGCUAAUAGAUGAGCCUAAGUCGGAUUAGCUAGUUGGUGGGGUAAAGGCCUACCAAGGCGACGAUCUGUAGCGGGUCUGAGAGGAUGGACCGCCACACUGGGACUGAGACACCGCCCAGAAUCCUACGGGAGGCAGCAGGGGGGAAUAUUGGAGAAUGGGGGGAACGCUGGUCCAGCCAUGCCGGGUGUGUGAAAAAGGCCUUAUGGUUGUAAAGCACUUUAAGCGAGGAGGAGGCUACUCUAGUUAAUACUUAGGGAUAGUGGACGUUACUCGCAGAAUAAGCACCGGCUAACUCUGUGCCAGCCGCCGCCGUAAAAC
rnacentral:rRNA from 1 species